CCUACGGGGGGCAGCAGUGGGGAAUAUUGGACAAUGGGGGGAACCCUGAUCCAGCCAUGCCGCGUGUGUGAAGAAGGCCCUCGGGUUGUAAAGCACUUUCAGUGAGGAAGAACGCCUGGUGGUUAAUACCCAUCAGGAAAGACAUCACUCACAGAAGAAGCACCGGCUAACUCCGUGCCAGCAGCCGCGGUAAUACGGAGGGUGCGAGCGUUAAUCGGAAUUACUGGGCGUAAAGCGCGCGUAGGUGGCUUGAUAAGCCGGUUGUGAAAGCCCCGGGCUCAACCUGGGAACGGCAUCCGGAACUGUCAGGCUAGAGUGCAGGAGAGGAAGGUAGAAUUCCCGGUGUAGCGGUGAAAUGCGUAGAGAUCGGGAGGAAUACCAGUGGCGAAGGCGGCCUUCUGGACUGACACUGACACUGAGGUGCGAAAGCGUGGGUAGCAAACAGGAUUAGAUACCCGAGUAGUC
rnacentral:rRNA from 1 species